rnacentral:rRNA from 1 species
UACGUAGGGGGCUAGCGUUGUCCGGAAUCAUUGGGCGUAAAGCGCGUGUAGGCGGUCCGGUAAGUCCGCUGUGAAAGUCGGGGGCUCAACCCUCGGAUGCCGGUGGAUACUGUCGGGCUUGAGUACGGAAGAGGCGAGUGGAAUUCCUGGUGUAGCGGGUGAAAUGCGCAGAUAUCAGGAGGAACACCGGAUGGCGAAGGCAGGUCUCUGGGCCACUACUGACGCUGAGAAGCGAAAGCAUGGGGAGCGAA